rnacentral:rRNA from 1 species
UACGGAGGGUGCAAGCGUUAUCCGGAUUCACUGGGCUUAAAGGGUGCGUAGGCGGGUAAGUAAGUCCGUGGUGAAAUCUCUGAGCUUAACUCAGAAACUGCCGUGGAUACUAUUUGACUUGAAUAUUGUGGAGGUGAGCGGAAUAUGUCAUGUAGCGGUGAAAUGCUUAGAUAUGACAUAGAACACCAAUUGCGAAGGCAGCUCACUACACAAUCAUUGACGCUGAGGCACGAAAGCGUGGGGAUCAAACAGG